GCCCGCUCGCCGGAAGACCAAGGGUUCCUGUCCAACGUUAAUCGGGGCAGGGUGAGUCGACCCCUAAGGCGAGGCCGAAAGGCGUAGUCGAUGGGAAACAGGUUAAUAUUCCUGUACUUGGUGUUACUGCGAAGGGGGGACGGAGAAGGCUAUGUUGGCCGGGCGACGGUUGUCCCGGUUUAAGCGUGUAGGCUGGUUUUCCAGGCAAAUCCGGAAAAUCAAGGCUGAGGCGUGAUGACGAGGCACUACGGUGCUGAAGCAACAAAUGCCCUGCUUCCAGGAAAAGCCUCUAAGCAUCAGGUAACAUCAAAUCGUACCCCAAACCGACACAGGUGGUCAGGUAGAGAAUACCAAGGCGCUUGAGAGAACUCGGGUGAAGGAACUAGGCAAAAUGGUGCCGUAACUUCGGGAGAAGGCACGCUGAUAUGUAGGUGAAGCGACUUGCUCGUGGAGCUGAAAUCAGUCGAAGAUACCAGCUGGCUGCAACUGUUUAUUAAAAACACAGCACUGUGCAAACACGAAAGUGGACGUAUACGGUGUGACGCCUGCCCGGUGCCGGAA
rnacentral:rRNA from 1 species